GAUGAGCGCUGGCGGUAUGCUUAACACAUGCAAGUCGAACGAAAGUAUUUAUACUUUAGUGGCGAACGGGUGCGUAAUACGUGAGAAUCUGCCCUUAGGAGGAGGAUAACUGCUGGAAACGGCUGCUAACACUCCAUAUGUCGAGAGAUGAAAUAAUUUAUUGCCUAAGGAUGAGCUCACGCCUGAUUAGCUAGUUGGUGAGGUAAUGGCUCACCAAGGCCACGAUCAGUAGCUGGUUUGAGAGAACGAUCAGCCACACUGGGACUGAGACACGGCCCAGACUCCUCCGGGAGGCAGCAGUGAGGAAUUUUCCGCAAUGGGCGAAAGCCUGACGGAGCAAUACCGCGUGAGGGAUGAAGGAUUUUGGUCUGUAAACCUCUUUUCUCAAGAAAGAAGUUCUGACGGUACUUGAGGAAUAAGCAUCGGCUAACUCCGUGCCAGCAGCCGCGGUAAUACGGGGGAUGCAAGCGUUAUCCGGAAUCAUUGGGCGUAAAGCGCCUGUAGGUUGUUUAAUAAGUCUGUUGUUAAAGCCUAGGGCUUAACCCUAGAAAAGCAAUGGAAACUAUUAGACUAGAGUAUGGUAGGGUAGGAGGGAAUUUCUAGUGUAGCGGUGAAAUGCGUAGAUAUUAGAAAGAACACCGGUGGCGAAAGCGCUCUACUGGACCAUUACUGACACUCAGAGGCGAAAGCUAGGGUAGCAAAAGGGAUUAGAUACCCCUGUAGUCCUAGCCGUAAACGAUGGAUACUAGAUGUUGUGCAUUAAGGACAGUAUCGUAGCUAACGCGUUAAGUAUCCCGCCUGGGGAGUACGCUCGCAAGGGUGAAACUCAA
rnacentral:rRNA from 1 species